CUACGGGUGGCUCCAGUGGGGAAUAUUGCACAAUGGGGGGAACCCUGAUGCAGCAACGCCGCGUGGAGGAUGACACAUUUCGGUGCGUAAACUCCUUUUAUAUAAGAAGAUAAUGACGGUAUUAUAUGAAUAAGCACCGGCUAACUCCGUGCCAGCAGCCGCGGUAAUACGGGGGGUGCAAGCGUUACUCGGAAUCACUGGGCGUAAAGAGCAUGUAGGCGGGUAGAAAAGUUGGAAGUGAAAUCCUAUGGCUUAACCAUAGAACUGCUUCCAAAACUCUUUACCUAGAAUAUGGGAGAGGUAGAUUGAAUUUCUGGUGUAGGGGUAAAAUCCGUAGAGAUCAGAAGGAAUACCGAAUGCGAAGGCGAUCUACUGGAACAUUAUUGACGCUCAGAUGCGAAAGCGUGGGGAGCAAACAGGAUUAGAUACCCCCGUAGUC
rnacentral:rRNA from 1 species